rnacentral:rRNA from 1 species
GGAAUAUUGGACAAUGGGGGCAACCCUGACGAAGCAACGCCGCGUGGAGGAUGAAGGCCUUCGGGUUGUAAACUCCUGUCGACCGGGACGAAAGCAGUUCGGCCUAAUACGUCGAGCUGUUGACUGUACCGGUGGAGGAAGCCACGGCUAACCCUGUGCCAGCCGCCGCGGUAAUACAGAGGUGGCAAGCGUUGUUCGGAAUUACUGGGCGUAAAGGGCGCGCAGGCGGCCCGUUAAGUCCCGUGUGAAAUCCCUCGGCUCAACUGAGGAGCCGCACGGGAAACUGGCAGGCUUGAGUUCGGGAGAGGGAAGUGGAAUUCCGGGUGUAGCGGUGAAAUGCGUAGAUAUCCGGAGGAACACCGGUGGCGAAGGCGGCUUCCUGGACCGAUCACUGACGCUGAGGCGCGAAAGCUAGGGGAGCAAAC